rnacentral:rRNA from 1 species
GGUGAACGCUGGCGGUAGGCCUAACACAUGCAAGUCGAACGGCAGCACAGUAAGAGCUUGCUCUUACGGGUGGCGAGUGGCGGACGGGUGAGGAAUACAUCGGAAUCUACUUUUUCGUGGGGGAUAACGUAGGGAAACUUACGCUAAUACCGCAUACGACCUACGGGUGAAAGCAGGGGAUCUUCGGACCUUGCGCGAUUGAAAGAGCCGAUGUCGGAUUAGCUAGUUGGCGGGGUAAAGGCCCACCAAGGCGACGAUCCGUAGCUGGUCUGAGAGGAUGAUCAGCCACACUGGAACUGAGACACGGUCCAGACUCCUACGGGAGGCAGCAGUGGGGAAUAUUGGACAAUGGGCGCAAGCCUGAUCCAGCCAUACCGCGUGGGUGAAGAAGGCCUUCGGGUUGUAAAGCCCUUUUGUUGGGAAAGAAAAGCAGCAGGUUAAUACCCCGCUGUUCUGACGGUACCCAAAGAAUAAGCACCGGCUAACUUCGUG